rnacentral:rRNA from 1 species
CAGUAGUCAUAUGCUUGUCUCAAAGAUUAAGCCAUGCAUGUCUAAGCACAAACUUUAACACGGUGAAGCUGCGAAUGGCUCAUUAGGUCACCCAUUAUUUCUUGGAUCGUACAAUCCUACUUGGAUAACUGUGGCAAUUCUAGAGCUAAUACAUGCGAGCAAGCUCCGACCCGUUCUCGGGAAAGAGCGCGUUUAUUAGAUCAAAACCAAUCGGGUCUUCGGGCCCGUACGUUUGGUGACUCUGGAUAACUUCGAGCGGAUCGCACGGGCUCGACCCGGCGACGUAUCUUUCAAGUGUGUGCCCUAUCAACUUUCGAUGGUACGCGAUAUGCCUACCAUGGUUGUAACGGGUAACGGGGAAUCAGGGUUCGAUUCCG